UGGGGAAUUUUGGACAAUGGGCGAAAGCCUGAUCCAGCAAUGCCGCGUGUGUGAAGAAGGCCUUCGGGUUGUAAAGCACUUUUGUCCGGAAAGAAAUCCUUGGCUCUAAUACAGUCGGGGGAUGACGGUACCGGAAGAAUAAGCACCGGCUAACUACGUGCCAGCAGCCGCGGUAAUACGUAGGGUGCAAGCGUUAAUCGGAAUUACUGGGCGUAAAGCGUGCGCAGGCGGUUUGCUAAGACCGAUGUGAAAUCCCCGGGCUCAACCUGGGAACUGCAUUGGUGACUGGCAGGCUAGAGUAUGGCAGAGGGGGGUAGAAUUCCACGUGUAGCAGUGAAAUGCGUAGAGAUGUGGAGGAAUACCGAUGGCGAAGGCAGCCCCCUGGGCCAAUACUGACGCUCAUGCACGAAAGCGUGGGGAGCAGACAGGAUUAGAUACCCUGGUAGUCCACGCCCUAAAACGAUGUCAACUAGUUGUUGGGGAUUCAUUUCCUUAGUAACGUAGCUAACGCGUGAAGUUGACCGCCUGGGGAGUACGGUCGCAAGAUUAAAACUCAAAGGAAUUGACGGGGUCAUAGCUGUUUCCU
rnacentral:rRNA from 1 species